rnacentral:tRNA from 1 species
ACCUAACUCGCUCAGUUGGUAGAGCUUGAAACUCUUGAUCUUGGGGUUGUGAGUUCAAGCCCCAUGCUGGGUG